rnacentral:lncRNA from 1 species
CACCGACAAGAGUUAUGACAUCCAAUGACAAGGACAUCUUGAUAGAAUUGAAUUCUUGAAAACAUGGGUAGGGACAGGCACAUGCACAUCCACAUGCACUUUUCUCUCCUAUAUCACAUACAGCUUGUAUAACUACAAGUUGAAGCGUAAUUUGAGGAAUCUGACCUCAUUCCACUUUGAUCUGAUUAGUUAUGACAUAUAAUAAGACCAAGAUUGCAGCAUUUACUGAAAAUGAAAUAACAAAUAAAAUAUUUGACUGCAGGUUGCAGCAUUUACUGAAAAUGAAAUGACAAAUAAAAUAUUUGACUGCAGGUUAAUGGUGACAUAUUUCGUUAACUUAAAGACAAAGGAUCCAAUUUUUGUUCAAAUUUCUUAGAUCCGCCAAAAUAUCAGUAAUACACUAACAAAAAAGAACAUAUAUCAAUAUUUCCGUAAAUGAAAGCAGAAGGUUGAAGCCAACA